ensembl:lncRNA
GUACCUGUUCAUUAAAUAUUCAUGCAGUUGGAGAACUCACCACUGUUGUGUGCUGAGUAAUUUCCUUAAUGCCUUUCCUCCUGGUGACCAACUGUUUUAUAGACCUAAUCUGCUUAAGCCUUUCUAUGAGGUAUAGCAGGGGUCAUGCACAAAUAUGCCCAUUUUCAAAUUAGAAAUUAAGGUGCAGAAGUGUUUCAAAGAGAGUCCAGAGGCGCAAAGCUGGUGAUGCCUCUGCCCACGAACUGCAACUCAUGUGCAUGACUCCCAUGCUAAGCCCUAUUCCCCUGCAAAGCCCCCAACUCUUUUUGCAAAGCCCCAACUUUCAUGCAAAGCUCCAACUAUUAGAGAACACUAAGCCUCAGGGUUUUGAGCAUAAAAAGAAAUUGCUAAGUUUGAUUCAACGUGUACUUCACAUAAUGCAUUUCUGUGACACUUCAUAGUAAUGAGAUAAUUACCAUGGGUACAGUAUUAGAAUAUACAUAUUCUGAUAAGUUACAGCUGUAAGAAAUCAGUAAUGGCCAUUAAUCAUUCCAUGUUCAUUCUUUACGAGGCUCAGACUAAAUGGUAAGCUGCAGAGUUCCAACAAAGCUAAGACAAAUUUUAUAGUCAUCGUUUCUGCCAUUUAGAUGAGGCGUUGAUGGGCACAAUAGACUCUCCCUAAUUUAAACUAAUUUGGGCAAACUGCUGCCCCAAAAGAGAAAACUCUGAAUUGAGUUAUAGCAGUAAAUAUAUAGUACCUGUGAGAUAUUUGAAAGUAACAACUGGAAUCCAAACUAGAGCAUCAAAUGAUUAAUAAAUAAACAUCUUCAGGAACUACCUUAAUUAAUAUAUGGGAAGGAAUCAUAGUACCUGUAUCACGGACUCGAGUCCUUGAGUCCAUGAAACCUAUUUCUAUCUUAAGUAAGUUAAGCAUUUCCCCUUAUAAUCAUUAUUAUACCUAUUCUUUUACUAGUGAGCUUUUUUUUUUUUUUUUUUUACAUCAGGAUAAACAUCAGGUUGGCCCUUAGCCAAGUUACAGCUAAAGGCAAAACUAGCAGAAAUUAAAUUAAUCAAGUUUUACUACACAGUGUAGAAACAGUGAUCAAUGCAAACUUCUCAAUUCUUUCAAAUUUAGAAAUUAGUUGCAUAUUUUAGAAAAGAACCACAAGGUUGAGAGGAAACCUGAAAUGCCAUUCAACCAUAUCCAAGCUGACCUAGAGAUUUUAGAAUUCUAGGCUGUUGGAUCUGCAAGGGAUUUUGGAGAUUAUUUUGUCCAGGAGAAAAGGGAGGAUGAGAAUAGAUACCUGACCUCCAUAGAACACACAGCCUGGUCAUGAGAGAAGUAAUUCUAGCACCCAGUGCCUGUGACUCCAACCUUGUGAUUAUUAGACUCACACCCAUCUGCAUCUUCUAGGUGACACACACAAUGAUCCACACACAGCAAAGCUGGACAGCUCCUACCUGUAACCUGGCGGAGUAUCCAGUUAACCAGCAGGCACAUUUAGACGCUUCAUGUAAUUUAAGGUCAUUUAGUCAAAACCACUCAUGGUGGAGGUGAAGAGACAGCUAUGCACCACUCUAUAAAUUAGCGAAGUUAGCCAAGAUAUGGUCACCAGAAUGGAAACAUCACUGUUGUCUACAUCAGACAGAUGCUAACUAAGCAUAACAGGAACAGUCUCCCAGAGUAUCCAUUAGAUACUAAGAGCAGAUGGAGAAUGUGCACAGGCUCUGAAUUUCUGCAUCUUUGCUGUCUUCUACACCGAGCUCAGCACCUGACACCAAGCAGACCAUCAGGAAGUGAGAAAUUCUUUUAAAUGACCCAUGUGAUUUACACCCUUGGGUUUCUGGUUUUUUUAAAAAAGAUCUUGGUGAUUACGAUUUAGUUUAAUUUUUCUUUCUGAUUUACUAAAGCUGGGGAACCUUUGCAGAAGGGUGUAGUGCCUUGCUGCUCUCUGCCUUAAAAUGAAGCUCUCGGUUACUCAGUAACUACCUGCCAAAUACAGCUACCCUUCUGAGUUCACAGGGCCUUCCAGGGUGAUUUUGAAAGUGAGUCAUUGAUUUGAAUCCAGGGUCCAAACAGAGCUGGGACAAGCCUUGGCGAUCAGGUAGUCCAGCCCUCUCCUUUUAUAACUGAGGAAACGGAGGUCCAGAGAGGUUAAGUCACUGUGGCCUGAUCACAUAAUUAAGUUUGUUUAUUUGCUGUGCUUUGGGGCAAUCUGGAAAACGCCACGUGCACAGUUUUUCUUUUCAACUUCCUGACAUUUUCAGUUGUGCGCACUCAGGGUAUUUCUAAAAUACUGAUAAGCAAGUGAAUGCAAAUCUCAUUUAGUGAAAUCUGGCAAUGUGGGCAGUCUUCAGUGAAAUCUAUUACUCUUCCUUGCUUGAUACUUUUAUGUUCAGCUGUUUUUGAUUUGUGGUGUUUGAUUAGACAAAAGGUAACAAAAUAUUCAUUGCAGUAAAAAAAAAAAAAAAUCCUCCUUUCUUUUACAUCCGCAUAACUUCAAAAUAGCCCCAAAGCCAUCAUCUGUCGUUACCAAAAAAAUUUACUUCGGAACUGAAACCGAGGUAAAAAAAAUUCUGUCCCAGGGGAGUUUUAGAGAGCCAUAACCAUGCAAAAGUACAUGGUAACAGAAAAUAUUAUGCAAACUUCACUGUGGCAUUAUAAUGGAAACUGCAUCAAUAGUGAAAACUGCAUCAAUAAUAUCUGGAUGGCUAGGUAAGAAAGAUAAAACCAUUGAAAUACAUACUUUUGACUGUGCACUGUUACAGUACAUUUACAACGCACCACAAUUUGAACAGAAAGUUGACAAACUCUGAAUUUGUUACAGGCAAAGUAAUUUAUAGCAUGGGGCAGGAGCGGGAAUUCUGACUAUCAUUCCUUGUGCUUUCUCUGAAUAGGUUGUGGCCCUUGUCUCUUGGUGCCUCGAUUUCCCCUCCAGAUGUCUCUAUGAAGUCAGAUAAAUUAUCAAUGAAGUCAGAUAAAUUAACAUUUACUAAGCUUCAGAGAACAGCUGGUCAUUAUUCAGAAGCUUCUAAAUCAUGACAGGCUACUUCUGAGGCUUUGCUUGGAGUUAGUCAUCUCUGAGGGCUUCCCUGGUAGCUCAGCUGGUAAAAAAUCAGCCUGCAAUGCAGGAGACCCUGGUUCGAUUCCUGGAUCGAGAAGAUCCCCU